rnacentral:rRNA from 1 species
UAGCGUAGGGGGGCAAGCGUUUGUCCGGGAUUUAUUGGGCGUAAAGAGCGUGUAGGCGGUCAGGUAGGUCCGUUGUGAAAACUCGAGCUCAACCUCGAGACGCCGAUGGAAACCAUCUGACUAGAGUCCGGAAGAGGAGAGUGGAAUUCCUGGUGUAGCGGUGAAAUGCGCAGAUAUCAGGAAGAACACCCGUGGCUAAGGCGGCUCUCUAGUACGGUACUGACGCUGAGACGCGAAAGCGUGGGGAGCGAACAGG